GUUUUUUUUAAAGUAUAUUAUCAGCAAGCCUCUACUGGUAGUAACUGUUAAAAAUGGAUAUUGAAUAAAUGUUAACCAAUCUUUUCCUAAAGAUCGCGGCACAAAAGAUACUGAAACGCUUCACUUGUUGUAUCAAUAAAACACACGCAAUCGAUCAGGCAAUAGGUGGUGGGUAAAUCUUUCAUUCACGUAAUUAUUCAGAAGCUCUCAAAAGAUUAUGAAUUGCGAUUCUUGCAUUUAGUAAUGGACAAAUGCGAUCAGUGAAAAAGUAGAUUUUUGAAGAUUACGUUGAGCUUUUUCUUCCAACAAAAGUAGUGCUGUAAUACUGUUUUAGUUUGCGCCAUCGGUUCGCUACUAGAUCUGCCAAUUGAGCUAUUGUUCGUGAACCCUACUAAAACAAACUGACUGGAUUAACCCCACGUUAGCUACAUGCAUUGAGUGGCGUUCAGACGGUUGACAUGAACAGUCACUUUGCCAGAAUUCACCAACAGAGUCGGAGAAAGGAGGAACCUGCACCCGUUGGACCAGAACCUGCCCCAGGCGGAGUGGGUGCUGCUGAAGGUCAUCAAGCGAAAGUGGUCGGAGCCAAGGUGGACGGGUCCUCAUCAGGUGGUGGAGAGAACGAGCCAUGCGGUCCGCCUGAGGGACAAAGGAGAGACGUGGUACCAUUGUAGCCAGUAUACACCAGCGCAGGAGCCAGGGAGCUCAUCCAAACCGGGAAGGAGGAGCUUGCCCCAGUGUGGACGGAAGGAGGACCAAAACCAGCUGGACCGGUGCCAGGAGCGGACCCCAGGAUACUGCGGGACUACGAGCGAGAGAAUGAGACAAAGGACGGCACCAGGGGAAUAGACUUUUAGGGGAAGGAACUGAAGAAUACUGUAACAAAAGGGGGUAUAGGACACCGAGUGGCUCCUACCACUCAUAUCAAGAUGACAGGGUUACAGAGAAAGGCCUGGGGAGAUGAUGAUAGAAUGAAGUGGUAUAUGGACAUUGGUGGAAUAAUGAUAUGUGUGUUGUAUGUUGCUACAGGUUUCCCAGGUUGGCAUCGGGUCUUCAUUCCCCCAGCGAAGAGGUCCGCGACCCCACCUGAGGACACCUGCUUGGGGGCAUUGAAUUGAACUAUGUCAAGGGGUCGCAUACGAGCAUUCUGGGAUAGACAACCCGCUGGAGGAAUGGAUGACCUCGAUGUUCGGCCAGUGGAAAGGUUUGAUAAUGUCUGUUCUUUUAUCGCUUGCUACAUUUUGUGCUUUAAUGGUGACUUGCAGGUGUUGUAUCCCAUGCAUAAGAGGGCUCACCAUGUGGGUGAUCUCUAUAGCCAUUGAGAAGGCUCCAGGACCGCCACCAGGGAUGCUGAUGCCUCUACUGGAGCAGCUCGACCUGGGAGAACUGGAGCUUGGCGAAUAGGGGUGAUCUCUCUGGGGAGAGAUCAAAAGGGGGAAUUGUGGAUACAUUGAGUGAAUAAGCUGUCAAACUGUUGUGAGCAUUGAAGCAAAAUGUUGAAUGUCUGUAGCAUAAGCUGAGACUGAUUUAGGCUGUUGCUGGGGAACAAGAGGAGACUGAGCUUGUGUGUCAGAUUACAGGAAACAGGGGGGCAGAUUAAUAACGCACACACAUAUUCUGGGCAGGGCUGAAUUAAGAAUAGACAAGACCGAAACCACAAAGUGCAAAGAUGAUGCUUGUACUGCAUUUACACAUAUAAGGUAUAAAACAUAAACUGGACCAAUGGCACACAUGCUUGGCAUAUUUAACCCCCACUUUUAGGCUUGUUUGAAGUAUAAAUAUUGCUGAUGUGACUGUGAUUGAUCUUUAGACAUUGUGCGGCGACACUCUGUCUCCAAAAGCUUUUGUAAUAAACGGAAUAUACGGUACGGUAAUUGACCUGACUCCUGGUGUGUUAUUCUCCUUUCCAACAAACCAACUCGGGGAAGCGUUAGAUUUCAACAGUGUCCUAGGUCUUCCCCAGGAUCUCCUCCCGGUGGGACGGGAAGGCGUUCAGGAGGCAUCCGGAACAGAUGCCCAAGCCACCUCAGUUGACCCUUCUCAAUGUGGAGGAACAGCGGCUCUACUCUGAGCUCCUCCCGGGUGACCAAGCUUUUCACCCUCUCUCUAAGGGAUCGCCCAGCCACCCUGCGGAGAAAGCUCAUUUUGGCCACCUGUAUCCGGG
ensembl:lncRNA